rnacentral:rRNA from 1 species
UACAGAGGUGGCAAGCGUUGUUCGGAAUUACUGGGCGUAAAGGGCGCGUAGGCGGCCUACUAAGUCAGACGUGAAAUCCCCCGGCUUAACCUGGGAACUGCGUCUGAUACUGGAAGGCUUGAGUAUGGGAGAAGGGAUGUAGAAUUCCAGGUGUAGCGGUGAAAUGCGUAGAUAUCUGGAGGAAUACCGGUGGCGAAGGCGGCAUCCUGGACCAUUACUGACGCUGAGGCGCGAAAGCUAGGGGAGCAAACGGG